rnacentral:siRNA from 1 species
UAGAAUUGAUGGGUUUGAUUC